rnacentral:rRNA from 1 species
CCUACGGGAGGCAGCAGUGAGGAAUAUUGGUCAAUGGACGGAAGUCUGAACCAGCCAUGCCGCGUGCAGGAUGACUGCCCUAUGAGUUGUAAACUUCUUUUGUAUUGGGGUAAACACCCCUACGUGUAGGGGUUUGAAAGUAUAAUACGAAUAAGGAUCGGCUAACUCCGUGCCAGCAGCCGCGGUAAUACGGAGGAUCCAAGCGUUAUCCGGAUUUAUUGGGUUUAAAGGGAGCGUAGGCGGUUUGAUAAGUGAGAGGUGAAAUACCGGUGCUCAACACUGGAACUGCCUCUAAUACUGUUGAACUAGAGAGUAGUGGCGGUAGGCGGAAUGCAUGGUGUAGCGGUGAAAUGCUUAGAGAUCACAAAGAACACCGAUUGCGAAGGCAGCUUACCAAACUAUAACUGACGUUGAGGCACGAAAGCGUGGGUAGCAAACAGGAUUAGAUACCCUUGUAGUC